GUUACUUCCUGCAGUGCUGUGGGCACAGAGGAGUGUAGAAAACAUGUUAUUUUCUUCACAUUAUUUGCAGCAUGAGUAGUGAAAACAAAAGGAGAGUCUAAACCGACAUCAGUAUCUCAUCUCAAGUUCUACGGACAUCAGAAGUGUAGAAGUGAAAAGAAUCUUCAACGUAAAACAAUGGAAACCACAAGCGAAGAUGAGUUUCACCUUGUGAUCCCCUGUGACAAAAUAGAGUCCCUUGGCCCAAAUGUCACAAUACCCUGUCAUCUGUCCCCUGAAAUCAGUGCAGUUGCCAUGGAGAUCAG